CUAGUUUUCUUUGGAGUAUCUUAUUAUGUAUAUAGACAUAUUAUUAUAUAUAGAUACAUAGUAAAACAGAUAUACUAAAAAAAUAAAAACAACUUAUAAUUUGAAAUGGAGAGAGUAUUUGCGUGCAUGUGCAUUCGCUUCGCCAACUUUAGAUUGCAGAUCGAGAGGUUUCCCUGAUGCAUGGGCGCUGGCGCUAUCUCUCGUCCAUUUCAUCCAUUGGAGUGGAAUUUCGAUUGGAAAUGUCGCUUCGAUUUUCUUGUGUACUUCAUAUUUGUUUUGCUUGGGAUGUCACCAUCUCACGGAUCGGACAUCCCAAGAAGCUAAGACCAAUCCAUCCAUAGAGAUCGAAAAGGCACAACCUUCCUUGGCUGCUACUCUUUCAUCAACCUCUGUGCCUCGAUACCAGCUACAAGGAAACACAGGUGCUUAAAGAUGCUUCUUGCAAACAACAAUAGUUAUAGCUAGAAAGUCAAUAUGAUGUGCAAUGACUUUAAAAUAUACAUAUCCCUGAAGAUGCUUCUGCAUUUUUUAUACACUACAACCAAUAAUGCAAUACUGAAAUGUACAGAGUUUGACUCUUUCUCAAAAUAAAAAGACGUCUUGCAUUUUUCUAUUGAAGGAAUACCGUCCUAUAGUAUUUGUUCUCAGGCAGGACUGGACAAACCGUCUCACUUAAAAAGAAUCAUUAUAUUUUACAAAAAUCAGGUACUAUUAUACUAUAAGAACGAUGCAUACUAUGCCACUUUGUUAUUUGGGACAUACUAUGCCAUUGGAGUAUUUGGGACAUACUAUGCCAUUGGAGUAUUUGGGACAUAUUAAUAUUAUGCCAUUGGAGUAUUGGGGACAUACUAUGCCACUUUGUUAAAAAAUAUAUAUUUGGGACAUACUAUACAGGAAGCUAAUACUACAAGAAACUGGAAUUAUCUUUUGAACUAUACUAUUGUUUCAUAACGAGGUCAUAGUGUGAACUUUGAAGGAUCCAAGUAUGCUAAUUUCCUGCACAUUCGUCAUAUAGAAUUAGCAUCAGCUUCUACAUUACUCUGAAUGCAAAAAUAUCUGCAAUUCUGCAUGUACAGUCAAGAUAAAAGAGCUAAACUCAUCCCACUUCUACAAUUUCGCAUUGUGGCAGGUGGCUGCGGUGCAUGCGUGGUCCUCAUCUCCAAGUACGACCCGGCAACAGAGGAGGUGACCGAGUUCUCUGCUAGCUCCUGCCUGACGCUGCUCCACAGCGUGGACCGUUGCUCGGUGACCACCAGUGAGGGGAUCGGCAACACCAGGGAUGGCUACCAUCCCGUGCAGCAGCGCCUCUCCGGCUUCCACGCCUCGCAGUGUGGCUUCUGCACACCCGGCAUGUGCAUGUCCAUCUUCUCCGCGCUUGUCAAGGCUGACAAGAAGUCUGAUCGCCCAGCCCCUCCCGCUGGCUUCUCCAAGAUCACUUCCUCGGAGGCAGAGAAGGCUGUCUCAGGCAACCUUUGCCGCUGCACUGGGUACAGACCCAUUGUUGACGCUUGCAAAAGCUUUGCCUCUGAUGUUGACCUCGAGGAUCUGGGCCUCAAUUGCUUCUGGAAGAAGGGUGACGAACCUGCAGAAGUCAGCAAGCUGCCGGGCUACAACAGUGGCGCCAUUUGCACAUUUCCAGAGUUUCUCAAAUCUGAGAUCAAGUCUACACUGAAGCAGGAUAAUGAUGUUCCUAUUGCAGUCUCCGACGACGGCUGGUACCAUCCUAAGAGCAUUGAAGAGCUUCACAGGUUGUUUGAUUCCAACUGGUUUGAUGAAAAUUCUGUCAAGAUUGUGGCUUCAAACACUGGGUCUGGAGUGUACAAGGAUCAGGACCUCUAUGACAAGUACAUUGACAUCAAAGGAAUCCCAGAGCUUUCAGUCAUCAACAGAAGCAGCAAAGGAAUUGAGCUUGGAUCAGUUGUGUCCAUCUCUAAAGCUAUUGAGGUGCUGUCUGAUGGAAAUCUGGUCUUCAGAAAGAUUGCUGAUCACCUGAACAAAGUGGCUUCAUCGUUUGUUCGGAACACUGCAACCAUAGGUGGAAACAUAAUGAUGGCGCAAAGGUUGCCAUUUGAAUCGGACAUUGCAACCGUGCUCCUAGCUGCACGUUCGACAGUCACAAUCCAGGUGGCUUCCAAAAGGCUGUCCAUCACUUUGGAGGAGUUCUUGGAGCAACCUCCAUGUGAUUCUAGGACCCUGCUAUUGAGUAUAUUCAUUCCACAUUGGGGUUCAGAUGAUGUCGCCUUUGAGACUUUCCGAGCAGCACCUCGCCCAUUUGGAAAUGCUGUCUCAUAUGUAAACUCCGCUUUCUUAGCAAGGACAUCAGGCAGUCAUCUAAUUGAGGAUAUAUGCCUGGCAUUUGGUGCCUACGGAGUCGACCAUGCCCUCAGAGCUAAGAAGGUUGAGGAUUUCUUGAAGGGAAAAUCACUGAGCUCAUUUGUGAUACUUGAAGCAAUUCAGCUACUCAAAGAUACCGUUUCACCAUCAGAAGACACUACACAUCGUGAAUAUAGGAUCAGCUUGGCUGUCAGUUUCUUGUUCAAUUUCCUAUCUGCCCUUGCCAACAGUUUGAAUGCACCAUCAAAUAUUGAUACUCCCACCGGGUCAUAUAUUAAUGGAACUACAAAUGGUAGCACCGUGGACUCACCUGAGAAGCAUCUUAAGGUUGACAGCAAUGAUUUGCCAAUACGUUCAAGACAAGAAAUGGUUUCUAGCGAUGAGUACAAGCCUGUUGGCAAGCCAAUCAAAAAAGUCGGAGCAGAGAUCCAAGCUUCAGGUAUAUACUCUUAUACUGACGCAUAAACUGAUUCAGCUUGAACUUCCAAACAUGUUCCACUGUGGUGAACCUCUUUUCUUCUGUAUACUCCACAAAAUAAUCAUCUCAGGGCUCUUUUUUUUUGUCUUUAGUACAAUAGUUUGGUCAGUGCAUAACCAUCUGAUAAGCUUCCAUCCUAGCAUGCUCUACUGAUUGUAUUUCCACUCUUAAAAAACACACUAAAUCAUAUUCAUUUUUCUUAUACAGGGGAGGCUGUGUAUGUUGAUGAUAUCCCUGCUCCCAAGGAUUGCCUCUAUGGAGCAUUUAUCUACAGCACGCAUCCUCAUGCUCAUGUGAAAAGUAUCAACUUCAAAUCACCCUUGGCUUCACAGAAGGUCAUCACAGUUAUAACUGCAAAGGAUAUUCCAAGCGGUGGAGAAAAUGUUGGAAGCACCUUCCUGACGGUGCUAGGAGAUGAUGAACCACUAUUUGCAAAUCCAAUCGCUGAAUUUGCUGGUCAAAAUAUUGGUGUUGUGGUAAUUUUCUUUAGUAUUAUUUCAGAUUACACAAAAAUAGAAAUAUGUUUUUAUUUUACCAGGCAAGCUUACCGUGUCUUGUUGCUUUUCAAUUCACUCAGAUUGCUGAAACACAAAAGUAUGCUAAUAUGGCUGCAAAGCAAGCUGUUGUUGAGUAUAGCACAGAAAAUCUGCAGCCACCAAUUCUGACAAUAGAAGAUGCCAUCCAAAGAAACAGCUACUUCCAAACUCCCCCAUUUUUUGCUCCAAAACCAGUUGGUGACUACCACAAUGGGAUGUCUGAAGCUGACCACAAGAUUCUAUCAGCAGAGGUACAGAACACUAUAUAUAUAUAUAUAUAUAUAUAUAUAUAUAUAUAUAUAUAUAUAUAUAUAUAUAUAUCACACACUCUGAAUUUCCAGCAAGGCCAAACACUCACGCCUAGUAUUUUUGUGCCCACAGGUAAAACUUGAAUCCCAGUACUACUUCUACAUGGAAACUCAAGCAGCACUAGCAAUUCCUGAUGAAGAUAACUGCAUAACAAUCUAUUCCUCGACACAAAUGCCCGAGCUCGCACAAAGUUUGAUAGCAAGGUGCCUUGGCAUUCCAUUUCACAAUGUCCGCGUCAUCAGCAGAAGAGUAGGAGGAGGCUUUGGUGGAAAGGCAAUGAAAGCAACACAUGUAAGUCUUGCCUAUAACUAGAGCUUUUAUUCACUCAAUAUUUUGCAAUUUCAACUGAUUGUAUUGUCAAUUGAACUUCAUGAUUUUACCAAAAAAACUGUCGAGAUGCAAAUGUGUUAGAGAUGACCAUGAUUUUUUUCUCCUCUUUGUCAGACCGCAUGUGCAUGUGCCCUUGCUGCCUUCAAGCUGCGGCGUCCAGUUAGGAUGUACCUCGAUCGCAAGACGGACAUGAUAAUGGCUGGAGGGAGACAUCCAAUGAAGGCGAAGUACUCUGUUGGGUUCAAGUCAGAUGGCAAGAUCACAGCCUUGCACCUUGAUCUUGGAAUCAAUGCUGGAAUAUCAGCAGAGGUGAGUCCAGCAUUGCCACGUGCUAUCAUAGGAGCUCUCAAAAAGUACAACUGGGGCACUCUUGAAUUUGACACCAAGGUCUGCAAGACAAAUGUCUCAUCAAAGUCAGCAAUGCGAGCUCCUGGAGAUGUGCAGGGCUCUUUCAUCGCUGAAGCCAUCAUCGAGCAUGUUGCCUCGGUGCUCGCACUGGACACUAACACCGUCAGGAGGAAGAACCUUCAUGAUUUCGAAAGCCUUCAAGUUUUCUUUGGAGAAAGUGCAGGUGAAGCUUCUACAUACAGCCUGGUUUCCAUGUUUGAUAAGCUGGCCUUGUCUCCAGAAUACAAGCACAGGACUGCAAUGAUUGAGCAAUUUAAUAGCAGCAAUAAAUGGAAGAAACGCGGCAUUUCUUGUGUGCCAGCCACUUAUGAGGUUAAUCUUCGACCAACUCCAGCUAGGGUAUCGAUCAUGAAUGAUGGUUCCAUCGCCGUCGAGGUUGGAGGAAUUGAGAUAGGCCAAGGAUUGUGGACUAAAGUGAAGCAGAUGACAGUGUUCGGAUUGGGACAGUUGUGCCCUGAUGGUGGCGAAUGCCUUCUGGACAAGGUUCGAGUUAUCCAGGCAGACACAUUAAGCCUGAUUCAAGGAGGUUGGACUGCUGGGAGCACCACUUCUGAAACUAGCUGUGAAGCAGUUCGGCAAUCAUGUGUUGUACUCGUUGAGAGGCUGAAGCCUAUCAAGGAGAGUCUCGAAGCUCAGUCUAACACAGUGGAAUGGAGUGCCUUGAUUGCUCAGGUGAGGAUAACACUAAAUUCUAACUUUGUUGGUAACAUGUCCCUUAAUUUGAUUGAAAGAGGUACCAAGAAUUACAGUUACUUAAAUCCUUUGCCUCCCUUCAUUCCAUCAUUAAUCAAUCAGUAGCAAUGUCAAAUAAGUCUAAGGAACUGGAACUCGAUAUCAAGCAGUUUAAAUUGUUCAUGACAUUUGUUCCUCAUCUACAGGCAAGCAUGGCGAGUGUGAACUUAUCAGCACAGGCAUACUGGACUCCUGAUCCAUCUUUCACAAGCUACAUGAACUAUGGAGCUGGCACCAGUGAGGUAUUCUGACAAUGCAACUGCAAUUACCAAAGCCAAUUGUUGUAGGUUGCAGCUCCAGUUCUUCUAAAGCUGGCAUUUCAUUGGAAACUUGCAAAUGAACAUGCAGGUGGAAGUUGAUGUCCUGACAGGAGCAACCACCAUUCUGCGAAGCGACCUGGUGUACGACUGCGGGCAAAGCCUAAACCCUGCUGUGGACUUGGGCCAGGUUAGUUACCAAAUGAACACAACUCAUGUAGACCAUUGUCUCAAUGAAAAUGUGCUCCUCCUCUGAACAUUGUUCAUCAUUCAAUCAGAUCGAAGGCUGCUUUGUCCAAGGAAUAGGGUUCUUCACGAACGAGGACUACAAGACAAACUCCGACGGCUUGGUCAUCCACGACAGCACAUGGACUUACAAGAUCCCCACGGUGGAUAAUAUCCCCAAAGAGUUCAAUGUUCAGAUGUUUAAUAGCGCCCGUGACAAGAAGCGUGUCCUGUCUUCAAAAGGCAAGCAUCUCCUCACAAUGUUUCAUCCCCUCUCAACAUUCAUGCAGACAUUGUUGUCAACUUCUGAUAACUGCUUAUGAAAUAAAUAAAUAAAUCUGACAUACCGCGGACUUGUUUGCAGCUUCGGGUGAGCCGCCGCUUCUUCUCGCGUCCUCGGUGCACUGCGCGAUGAGGGAGGCCAUCAGGGCGGCGAGGAAGGAGUUCUCGGUCAGCACCGGCC
rnacentral:lncRNA from 1 species